rnacentral:rRNA from 1 species
AUUGAACGCUGGCGGCAGGCCUAACACAUGCAAGUCGAGCGGAUGAAGGGAGCUUGCUCCUGGAUUCAGCGGCGGACGGGUGAGUAAUGCCUAGGAAUCUGCCUGGUAGUGGGGGAUAACGUCCGGAAACGGGCGCUAAUACCGCAUACGUCCUGAGGGAGAAAGUGGGGGAUCUUCGGACCUCACGCUAUCAGAUGAGCCUAGGUCGGAUUAGCUAGUUGGUGGGGUAAAGGCCUACCAAGGCGACGAUCCGUAACUGGUCUGAGAGGAUGAUCAGUCACACUGGAACUGAGACACGGUCCAGACUCCUACGGGAGGCAGCAGUGGGGAAUAUUGGACAAUGGGCGAAAGCCUGAUCCAGCCAUGCCGCGUGUGUGAAGAAGGUCUUCGGAUUGUAAAGCACUGUAAGUUGGGAAGAAGGGAAGUAAGUUAAUACCUUGCUGUUUUGACGUUACCAACAGAAUAAGCACCGGCUAACUUCGUG